UACGUAGGGGGCAAGCGUUGUCCGGAAUUAUUGGGCGUAAAGAGCGUGUAGGCGGUCCGGUAAGUCAGCUGUGAAAGUCAAGGGCUCAACCCUUGGAAGCCGGUUGAUACUGUCGGGCUAGAGUCCGGAAGAGGCGAGUGGAAUUCCCGGUGUAGCGGUGAAAUGCGCAGAUAUCGGGAGGAACACCAAUGGCGAAGGCAGCUCGCUGGGACGGUACUGACGCUGAGACGCGAAAGCGUGGGGAGCAAACAGG
rnacentral:rRNA from 1 species